GACUGCUUCCUGCAUUAAUUAUGGAUGGUGCUUCGUAAAUCCUAACGUAUUUAAGAUGGAUGUGAUGCGAUUGGGCACUGAUUCUAGGAAAUAAUGGUCGCUACCUCCUUCGAUGGAGUAAAAUUUUGGAAAAUCACUUGAAGCCCCAUGGGGAUGUACCGUGUGGCAAUGUAACAGUCUGCAAAGCAUUGCCUAAGUUUGUUGUUGAGGUUGGGAGGACGUGCCAUUUAUGGCAUAGGGAAUAGCUGUGCCGUAAAGGCCGACGAUUGGUGAAUAGUGGAGGUGCUCAUACUUAUAUAGUGGGAUUGAUGGUUGGCGAGAACUUCACUUUCCAUCCUUCUUUCCGUAACACCUACAAAAAUUUUGUCUCUUCCACCACCAUAUUGCCCUCAAAGAAAUCCAUAAAAGACCUGAUCAAGGAGAGGAGGGCGUCGUGAAAAAGGCUCUUUUGUCCAAGA
rnacentral:lncRNA from 1 species